rnacentral:lncRNA from 1 species
CAAGAGAAGAACAUGUGAUCGUUCCACUGUGACGCCUGUAGCCCAACUUCAAACCUCAAAGAAGCUAGAAAGGAGCUUGUAGAUGACGCUGCAACGAAACACCAUCCAAAAGACAAGCACAACCCGUAACCUAGCCAAAAACAAAACCACCAAACGCCCAAGAGGACCCAGCAAAGCAGAAGAGCAAAGGACAUAAAGGCAAUUCCAUAACCAGAGAGAAACUGACUUGCGCAAAACACAAACCAAGAAGGAUCUCUGAGCUUAGCUAAUUCAAUUGGUUAAACGCAACAAAACAAACCUAAAACUAGGAAAAUUAACACAAACGAGCCAAGACUUAGCAAAACCAAGGACAAACUAUGAGCAGAGACUAAAUUACCCAACCAAAGGCAACCUAAUAUUAGCCUAAGACAGAAUCGAGACUACAUAGCUUCCACUAGAUCAGGUAUGUAUAAGAUGAAGAAACCAAACCUCCAUCUCCAAAAACAACUGCCGUAACAGUGAAGAACCACACGGGCUCCGACAAAAACACCAACCACCCACGGAGAACCAAGCGACACCAUCACUAGAACGGAACCAACCUUCCAAUCGAAGCACAACCAUCUAGAAUCUCGUCUUUAAUCCGCCAUAGGAGGAGCCAGAGAAGACCCAAAACAAAGGAAAAGCAAAUAAAAGACAAACAGACACACCCUCUCUGACUCCGGCCAAGGGCACCAGAUAAUCAGAAAGGUAACGUCAGAAAUUUGAGAAGAAAAGUUUGGUGGUGGCUAGACCUAAAAAAAUCGCCUCUCAAAGGCCGUAGAGCCAAACCUUUUUAUGUUAUAGAAAACUUUUUUGCGUUACAUUGAUAUUAAAAUUCUUCUAAACGAAAC